rnacentral:rRNA from 1 species
UACGUAGUGUGCAAGCGUUAAUCGGAAUUACUGGGCGUAAAGCGUGCGCAGGCGGUUGUGCAAGACAGAUGUGAAAUCCCCGGGCUUAACCUGGGAACUGCAUUUGUGACUGCACGGCUAGAGUGCGGCAGAGGGGGAUGGAAUUCCGCGUGUAGCAGUGAAAUGCGUAGAUAUGCGGAGGAACACCGAUGGCGAAGGCAAUCCCCUGGGCCUGCACUGACGCUCAUGCACGAAAGCGUGGGGAGCAAACAGG